UACAGAGGGUGCGAGCGUUGUUCGGAAUUACUGGGCGUAAAGCGCGCGCAGGCGGCCUUUUAAGUCUGACGGUGAAAUGCCGGGGCUCAACCCCGUGCCCGCCGCGGAUACUGGGAGGCUGGAGACAUGUAGAGGCAAGCGGAAUUCCGGGUGUAGUGGUGAAAUGCGUAGAGAUCCGGAGGAACACCAGUGGCGAAGGCGACACGCUGGGCCGUACCUGACACUGAUGCGCGACAGCAUGGGGAGCAAACAGG
rnacentral:rRNA from 1 species